rnacentral:rRNA from 1 species
CUACGGGGGGCUGCAGUGGGAAAUAUUGGACAAUGGGCGAAAGCCUGAUCCAGCCAUGCCGCGUGUGUGAAGAAGGCCUUCGGGUUGUAAAGCACUUUCAGUGGGGAAGAAAGCCUUGGGGCUAAUACCCUCGAGGAAGGACAUCACCCACAGAAGAAGCACCGGCUAACUCCGUGCCAGCAGCCGCGGUAAUACGGAGGGUGCGAGCGUUAAUCGGAAUUACUGGGCGUAAAGCGCGCGUAGGCGGUCUGAUAAGCCGGUUGUGAAAGCCCCGGGCUCAACCUGGGAACGGCAUCCGGAACUGUCAGGCUAGAGUGCAGGAGAGGAAGGUAGAAUUCCCGGUGUAGCGGUGAAAUGCGUAGAGAUCGGGAGGAAUACCAGUGGCGAAGGCGGCCUUCUGGACUGACACUGACGCUGAGGUGCGAAAGCGUGGGUAGCAAACAGGAUUAGAUACCCGGGUAGUC